rnacentral:rRNA from 1 species
CAGUCGCCGCGGGAAUACGUAGGUGGCAAGCGUUGUCCGGAAUUAUUGGGCGUAAAGGGCUCGCAGGCGGUUCGUUAAGACAGAUGUGAAAUCCCCGGGCUUAACCUGGGAACUGCAGUGGAUACUGGCUCGCUAGAGUGUGUCAGAGGAUGGUGGAAUUCCACGUGUAGCAGUGAAAUGCGUAGAGAUGUGGAGGAAUACCGAUGGCGAAGGCAGCCCCCUGGGCCAAUACUGACGCUCAUGCACGAAGGCGUGGGGAGCAAACAGGAUUAGAUACCCCCGUAGUCCCUGUCUCUUAUAC